AACGCACAUUGCGCCCCCUGGCAUUCCGGGGGGCAUGCCUGUCCGAGCGUCAUUGCAACCCUCAAGCGCGGCUUGUUGUUGGGCUCUCGUCCCCCCGUGAACGUGCCCGAAAGGCAGUGGCGGUACCGUGCUCCGGUGCCUGAGCGUAUGGGCUUUAUCACCCGCUCCAGGCCCGGCCGGUUCUGGCCUACCAACCCCAAUUUUCUAGGUUGACCUCGGAUCAGGUAGGGAUACCCGCUGAACUUAA
rnacentral:misc_RNA from 1 species